rnacentral:lncRNA from 1 species
AAGGGGCAGGGGAGGAGGGGCUUAGCCUGGAGGGAUCUGAGGACCAGGAGGCUCAAUCUAUCGCCGGCUGAGCCCGGGGGCAGCGCGGCUCCGAUCCCGCAGAGCAGGGCCGGGCAGGACGCGCCGCCUCCGCUGCCCGCAGCUCCCGCCCCGCUGCCCAGCCGGGCUCUCCUUCCGUCUCCCAUCGGGGCCGACACUCGGGGCUCCGGACGAGUCGCUGCCUGGGCUCGGGUCCUCCUUCAUGCUCUUCCUGAGAACUGGGGCAACGUUCACCAGCUUCCAGUCAGCUGGGACUUAUCCAGACUCCCAAGAUCAUUCAAAAACCAUCAAGAGAGACUUUGUGAUGACAUCAGCAGCUCUUUAAAGACGAUUGGAUGAGUCCCAUCAGGAUUUGUCAGAAGUCAAUAGGUAAAAGUGGGGGGGAAAUACACUGUUGGAAGUGGUGAAAUGGGAAUUUGCAAAGUGAAGUGACUACUGGUCUACAUGUGCUUAAGUUUACUGUAAACAUUCUGUGUUUGAUUGGCAAUCUGAGAUUAUGGCAAUUUCCACCAAGUUAUCUCUUAUGUAGUUGUAAAGAAUUUUGGUGCAGGAAAACUCCUGUGUGCUGGUGCUGUCGUGACAUCUAAAAUGUAUCUAAAAUGCAGUUAUAAAGAGAGGGAAAUGAGAAUUAUGGAUGUUUAUGUACUCCUUUCUUUGUGUGUGUUUAGUUGAUUCAGGUUGUUUUUCUAUAACACCAUAAAUCAGAUGUGCUGAAUUAGAUUUAAAUACUUUAGGUUAAAUGAGACAUGCCACUACAAGUCCAGAAGCAGAAACAGGAGAGUAAAAUUUUGCUGGCUGGCAGCUGAACUGUUGUCCUUUCAGUUCUUAGAAUCUUCUGUUUGCUGAACUACAUUCUGCAGAGGUACAAAAUAGCUGUGAUCACAGUGGCUGGAACUGAAAUGCACAUUUUAUCGGGUUUUGACUCUAUUAAAGGGAGCUUUUAGCAAUGAAUAAGAAUAUUUUAGAGCUAUGGCGAGUACCUCAGUUACGCUUGUGGCAGAGGAGAUUUAGACCACUUAAAGAACCACUGGCACAGAUAGCUGGAAAAGUGGUUUUAUUGAAGUAAAAUGAUGUAAAAGUGAGGUUUAAGGAAGUGCCCUGGUGAGGUUUAAUCUUACUGUACAGAUACAGUAACAAUAAUAAUUCAGAAGUAUUAAUACAUUAUCUUA